rnacentral:rRNA from 1 species
AGAAUCAACGCUGGCGGCGUGCCUAACACAUGCAAGUCGCACGAGAAAGGGACUUCGGUCCUGAGUAAAGUGGCGCACGGGUGAGUAACACGUGAAUCAUCUACCUCCGAGUGGGGAAUAACCUAGAGAAAUCUGGGCUAAUACCGCAUAACACUUACGAGUCAAAGCAGCAAUGCGCUUGGAGAGGAGUUCGCGGCAGAUUAGUUAGUUGGCGGGGUAAUGGCCCACCAAGACGAUGAUCU